rnacentral:rRNA from 1 species
AGCCAGACUCCUACGGGAGGCAGCAGUGGGGAAUAUUGCACAAUGGGGGAAACCCUGAUGCAGCGACGCCGCGUGAGUGAAGAAGUAUUUCGGUAUGUAAAGCUCUAUCAGCAGGAAAGAAAAUGACGGUACCUGACUAAGAAGCCCCGGCUAACUACGUGCCAGCAGCCGCGGUAAUACGUAGGGGACAAGCGUUAUCCGGAUUUACUGGGUGUAAAGGGAGCGUAGACGGUGCAGCAAGUCUGGAGUGAAAGGCAGGGGCCCAACCCCUGGACUGCUCUGGAAACUGUGUAGCUUGAGUGCAGGAGGGGUAAGCGGAAUUCCUAGUGUAGCGGUGAAAUGCGUAGAUAUUAGGAGGAACACCGGUGGCGAAGGCGGCUUACUGGACUGCAACUGACGUUGAGGCUCGAAGGCGUGGGGAGCAAACAGGAUUAGAUACCCCGGUACUA